rnacentral:rRNA from 1 species
CCCGCAACGAGCGCAACCCUUUUCCUUACUUGCCAUCGGGUCAUGCCGGGAACUUUAAGGAUACUGCCAGUGACAAACUGGAGGAAGGCGGGGACGACAUCAAGUCAUCAUGGCCCUUACGACCAGGGCUACACACGUGCUACAAUGGUCGGUACAAAGGGUUGCUACCUAGCGAUAGGAUGCUAAUCUCAAAAAGCCGAUCGUAGUCCGGAUUGGAGUCUGCAACUCGACUCCUUGAAGUCGGAAUCGCUAGUAAUCGCGGAUCAGAAUGCCGCGGUGAAUACGUU